rnacentral:lncRNA from 1 species
CACUUUAAAUGCAAUUAUAUUUGUGUUUGGACAAGCUUGGAGUGGGAAUGAGUCCUGGAUAGGGACUUAAUUUUAGCAGCAAAUGUGGGUAAAUUGUUUUGGUACGUAAGACCUUUCCUUUAUUCUCCAUUUUUCAACUCUUGUUUGUUCUCUAAGUUGCCUUCCUAUUUCAUGGUUGAAUUCCUAAAACUACUUUAUAUACUUCUCCCCUUUUAUGGAUUGUUUGACAUGCUCGAUCAAAAUAUAUUUUGGUUUUGUUGAGAUUAUUAAACAAUUGUAUAUAGCUUUUAACAUGUGCAGUCUAUUUUUGUUGUUGUUCUUAUGUUGUUUGGAAGUAUCAAUUUAUUUUUAAUAUCAGUUCAUAUAUAUAUAUAUAUAUAUAUAUAUAUAUGUUGACAUACAUAUACUUUGCACCAACUGCCCUUAAUAUCAGGAACAGGAAGCAAUCAUUUUUUGGUUGAUAAUUUUAUUUGUAUACGUCUUUGGUGAAAGACAAACCAACUUUACCUCAGACACCAUAUCGUAAUCUUUGCUACAAUGUAACCUUUACAAAUUGAAGUUUUCAAAUAAAGUUUGGGAACUUUUUUAACAAUUUUAUUUAAGAUAAUAUAUAGAAUUAGCACAUGCACGCAUGUCAAGUACUGACCUACUCUACCAUAUGUAGGUAGAUUCAACAAAGAUGAAUUUGUGCUAAGAAACAAGCAAACUUGUGAAAAUUUAGAGAAUUGAUAUUUUCACAACUCUCACAUUAGGUGGAUUUUAUUUACUAUUCAUGUGAGAAAGAGCUUGUAAUUAUCAAAUUUACUUGUGGAAAUAUUAAUUUCCAAAAUUUAGUGUAGACUGCAAGAAAAUAAAAACUAGACAUCACUGCAAAAUAUAUGCACCAACGAUAUUAACAACUAUCAAAGAACCAAAUGAAAAGUAUAAAGAACAUAACAAGCUGCGAAUUAGAAAAGCUUGAGCAGCAGACAGGCGAACUUAUUUAAUUCCUCAUUGCAAGGGAAAGAUUGGUUGAACUAAUCUAUAUAUAUAUAUACAUAUAUAUGAUUCUCUCCAGCGAAUCAUAGAGAGCGAACUAAAAACGAACCGGCUAUAGCGACGCUAUAACAUAGAAAAUCGGCUUUCUAUGCUAUAACGACGGAUAAAAACGUUGCUAUAGCCGGUUGAUUUUUAGUUCACUACCUAUAGUUCGCUGGAGAGACGGACCGUAUAUAUAUAUAAUAAGACAAAAUUAACUAAUUUUUUUGUUCUUUUAACUAUAAUUUAAGUGUUACUAAAACACUUUUUAAGCCUAGAAUUUAGUUAGAACCAAAACACUAUUUAUUUAGGAAAUUGUUAAAUCCACAACAAAAAUUGUUAUUUUCACAACAAAAGUGUCGCUAUAGAUCUUAUAGCUACGGUUUUCACCGUCGCUAUACACCUAUAGCGACACUUUUGUUGUGGAAAUAACAAAAAGUGUUGUGGAUUUAACAUUUCCCUUUAUUUAUUGUCUUAGAAAAUUUUUAGAGGAAAUUUUAUUUCUUAUAGAAGUACUUUACUAAACGGUCUUGUUACUUUGCUGCUAAGACACUUUGUGUGUUGAUGUGCUGCUGAACCAUUCCAGUAAACCAAAGCAGCAAUACCAAUAGUGUUAUUACUCCCCCCACAAGUUGAAGGGGCACAUGGAUUGUGCAGAUUUUACUUGGAAUUGAGGAAGCAAUGUGGAACUUUACCCAAAGCCUUGAUAAACAAAUCAGCCGACUGAUAUUUGGAAGAAAUUUUCAUAGGAAGAAUAAUGUCAACUUGUAGUUUUUCCCUAACAAAAUGACAAUCGAUCUCAAUGUGCUUGGUUGGAGAAUGGUACAAUACCAGUGGAUGGAACAACACCAUAGGAUGGAAGGACCAUAAUCAUAAGUAGAACCAUGAGAAAGUCCAACACCAUUAAACGAAACAGCAGUAGCAUAAGAAGGUCCAACAGAACACCAGUACAAUGAAAAGGUCCAACAGAACACCAUUAUAAGACAUAAUAGUAGUGAUGUGCGAAGUAGUAGCUGCAUAGGGGUUAUUAACAGGCAUAUGCUUAUGAAAUGGUGACCCAAGCAUGACAUUUGAACCAUUGGCAAGCAAACCAGUAAUUUUUGAAUUAGAAUGCCCCUGCCUUUUGCUUUUCAUCAUGUUUUAUUAAUGAAAAGGGUCGAGUAAUUGAAGGUAAAAUUUGUCCCCUAACAGUAGAGUAGCUUUCCCAUAAAAUACUGAAUCAAUUUCUUUCUCUGUUCCCUUUCUUAAAGUGAUCCAUAACUUGUUUGCAAUAAGCACCAAUUCAGGAUGGUCAUUAUUAUGUAAGAAAAGACGAUUUGUGCACAAUUAAUGCUCAUUAAUUCCAGUUACAAAUGUCUAACUAACUAAUGUCAGGUGUAUUAAAUCAGUUUUCUCUGUUGUUAAUGAUGAUGCUGCUGCUGCAACUCAACUUAUUAAUGAUCUUAUUGCACUUUGUGUGUGUUGAUGUGUUGCUCAACUAUUGCUGUAAAUCAAAGCAACAGUACCGAUAGUCUUAUCUAUAAAAAUAUUAUUAAAUUUUAAUUGUAGAAAUAAUGUAAUUGUCGGAUCACAUUUAUUUGAUUAUAUUAAUGUAAUUUGAAAUAUAUAUAUAUAUAUAUAUAUAUAUAUAUAGGGGCGGAGGCAUGUAUAGACUAGAGUGGGCUUUAGCCCAGGUGGAGUUUUUGGAAAAUAUUUAGUACUUAUAUAUCUUCAAUAGCCCAACCCAAUAUUGUUUUUCUGUUUUCUUGUGAUCCAUUAAAUAAGUGUUUAUGAUUUUAAUAAGUGUUUAUGAUUUUAUCCAAGUUUUUUUUCCCUUGCGUCUUCAUCUUUAUCCUUAAGAUAUAGUUCUGUUUAUUUAAUCUAGUAUCCUCAAAGACUGUGAUGUCCUUGUUUUUUUUUUUUGACAUCCUGGAGGGAGUAGUUUUUAGUGCUAUGUUGGCCUCUAUCUUGUUUAAUUUUGAUGUUUACUUGUCCAUGCAUCAUUUGUUGCUAAUUGUGGCACAUUACUAAGCACAUUACUAAGAUAGGAGUGUAAUUGUUUGAUAUUAUGCUUGUUAUAUGCCAUGCUUUGACUAAUUUACUUAGUUAAAAACUUUCUAGAUUUUGAAAUCUAAUGAUACUAUUAGCAUACAGUAUGUUAUUUUUCACUCAUAAUAUACUAAUAUGUAUUAACCGACAUAAUGCACAUAUAUCCGUUGCACAUCCACAAAUUUCAUCAGCAGUUUCAAUUUGAAUAAGUGACAAUAGAAAGUCAAGGAAGCAAGAGAGAAAAAACUUUGUUUUCUUUCUUUAAACCAAGAGAAAGUGCAUUAACUAGUGAAGGGCAUUAUCCAUCUUAUGUUGACAUCUCAAAUCACCAACCACCUCUUUCCAAAUCUCGUAUAAAACUUAAAUAGUGAAGUGUAUCAACGAAUUCUAUUCUACAAAGCAUAGAAGGACGCAGCUUAAAUAGUGUGUUGUUUUCCUUUUUUCUUACAUGUUAUGUACCUUUAAAUUUUACUAUUAUGUAUGAUUUUGAAUUUAUGAUUGAUCUUGGUGGUACUUAGUAGCCCAGGAGAUGCAGAAUUUUUGACUCCGCCCUUGUAUAUAUAUAACAUUGUAGACUUCAGUUACACCUCCACCCACAUCUCAAAGAGGAUUUCUUUGUGUCCUCCAGGUCGGACCACCGACCACCGACAGUGUGUUCCCUACUAAUCCUCCUGAAUUCCGGUAUGUCCAUUGCUAGCUGGUAUGUAUGUAUGUAUGUAUAUAACUGAAUCCCCCAAUAUGUUAUUCCCUCUAUUAACCAAUUAAUUUGAUAUAGAUUUUGAGUAGAGAAAUAAUGGAAGAGUUGUUGAGCUGUUUGGGUGAGUUUUUGGAAGGGAUCAAAAGUGAGUGCUUAGGUCUCCCUCCCAAUUUUCUAUAGAAUUCAAUGAUGAUCGUAGUGGUAGCUUAAUUUCUGCUAUCCCGGCCCCAGCAAUAGAAACCGAUAACAUUGGAGGGUUUGCAUGGAAAUUCUGUGUUACAAGAUGAUGGUGGAUGGAUCCCGGCCGGUAACCCCAGCUAGCUCAAGGGUCAAUCGUUUAAGGAUUAAACAAAAGACUUGGCAUUUCCCACUUUGAAAUUAAUUCCUAAGAAACAACAAAUCUGUUUGUUGUUUUUGGCUUGGUGUUCCUAUUUAAAUAUUCUGUCUCAUGAUCUCAUCUCAUAUAACGUUAUAUGUUGG